CCUAUACAAAAAGUUAUUACCACGGUUUUCAGGUCAAAAUGUUUCGUGAUCCCUGUAUUGGUGACUAAUUUAAACUCUACAAAGGACUCAGAAUUAUUUUAUUUGAUAAUUACAGGUCAAGAGAUGGAGGCACCUCUCUCUGCAUAAAACCCAUGGUACUCAAGUGUGUCUUCAAAAUUAAGAGCAAUCCCAAACAGACCUUAGUCUGCUGUAUUUUUGACAGAAUCUCUC